GCUGGGAUAGCUCAGUCAGUACAGCAUGAGACUCUUAAUCCCAGGGUUAUGAGUUCAAGCCUCAUGUUUUUGUG